GGUGAACGCUGGCGGCGUGCCUAAUACAUGCAAGUCGAGCGAACAGACGAGGAGCUUGCUCCUCUGACGUUAGCGGCGGACGGGUGAGUAACACGUGGAUAACCUACCUAUAAGACUGGGAUAACUUCGGGAAACCGGAGCUAAUACCGGAUAAUAUAUUGAACCGCAUGGUUCAAUAGUGAAAGACGGUUUUGCUGUCACUUAUAGAUGGAUCCGCGCCGCAUUAGCUAGUUGGUAAGGUAACGGCUUACCAAGGCAACGAUGCGUAGCCGACCUGAGAGGGUGAUCGGCCACACUGGAACUGAGACACGGUCCAGACUCCUACGGGAGGCAGCAGUAGGGAAUCUUCCGCAAUGGGCGAAAGCUUGACGGAGCAACGCCGCGUGAGUGAUGAAGGUCUUCGGAUCGUAAAACUCUGUUAUUAGGGAAGAACAAAUGUGUAAGUAACUAUGCACGUCUUGACGGUACCUAAUCAGAAAGCCACGGCUAACCACGUG
rnacentral:rRNA from 1 species